AGGAGUAUAGCUCAACUGGUAGAGCGCUGGUCUCCAAAACCAGAGGUUGGGGGUUCGAGUCCCUCUGCUCCUG
rnacentral:tRNA from 1 species